rnacentral:tRNA from 1 species
GGUGAGAUGGCUCAGCGGUUGAGAGCACUGACGGCUCUUCCAGAGGUCCUGAGUUCAAUUCCCAGCAACCA